UUCCGGUCAGUUACCUGGUGUAGUGCA
rnacentral:sRNA from 1 species